rnacentral:rRNA from 1 species
CAAUAGCGUAUAUUUAAGUUGCUGCAGUUAAAAAGCUCGUAGUUGGAUUUCGGGUGGGAAUGGCCGGUCCGCCGUUUCGGUGUGCACUUGCUACGCCCACCUUGCUGCCGGGGACGUGCUCUUGAGUUCACGCUCGGGACACGGAGUCGGCGAGGUUACUUUGAGUAAAUUAGAGUGUUCAAAGCAGGCCUACGCUCUGAAUACAUUAGCAUGGAAUAACACGAUAGGACUCUGGCCUAUCUUGUUGGUCUGUAGGACCGGAGUAAUGAUUAAGAGGGACAGUCGGGGGCAUUCGUAUUCAGUUGUCAGAGGUGAAAUUCUUGGAUUUACGGAAGACGAACAACUGCGAAAGCAUUUGCCAAGGAUGUUUUCAUUAA